rnacentral:rRNA from 1 species
AGCGUAGGCGGUUCGUCGCGUCCGGUGUGAAAGUCCAUCGCUUAACGGUGGAUCCGCGCCGGGUACGGGCGGGCUUGAGUGCGGUAGGGGAGACUGGAAUUCCCGGUGUAACGGUGGAAUGUGUAGAUAUCGGGAAGAACACCAAUGGCGAAGGCAGGUCUCUGGGCCGUCACUGACGCUGAGGAGCGAAAGCGUGGGGAGCGAACA